AUUGAACGCUGGCGGCAUGCUUUACACAUGCAAGUCGGACGGCAGCGGGGGUGCUUGCACCUGCCGGCGAGUGGCGAACGGGUGAGUAAUAUAUUGGAACGUACCGAGUAGUGGGGGAUAACUAAGCGAAAGUUUAGCUAAUACCGCAUACGACCUGAGGGUGAAAGCGGGGGACGGGAGACUGCCUCGCGCUAUUUGAGCGGCCAAUAACUGAUUAGCUAGUUGGUGGGGUAAAGGCCUACCAAGGCGAUGAUCAGUAGCGGGUCUGAGAGGAUGAUCCGCCACACUGGGACUGAGAGACGGCCCAGACUCCUACGGGAGGCAGCAGUGGGGAAUUUUGGACAAUGGGGGCAACCCUGAUCCAGCCAUGCCGCGUGUCUGAAGAAGGCCUUCGGGUUGUAAAGGACUUUUGUUAGGGAAGAAAAGGGAAGUGCUAAUAUCACUUUUUGCUGACGGUACCUAAAGAAUAAGCACCGGCUAACUACGUGCCAGCAGCCGCGGUAAUACGUAGGGUGCGAGCGUUAAUCGGAAUUACUGGGCGUAAAGCGAGCGCAGACGGUUAUUUAAGUCAGAUGUGAAAUCCCCGAGCUUAACUUGGGAACUGCGUUUGAAACUGGGUAACUAGAGUAUGUCAGAGGGGGGUAGAAUUCCACGUGUAGCAGUGAAAUGCGUAGAGAUGUGGAGGAAUACCGAUGGCGAAGGCAGCCCCCUGGGAUAAUACUGACGUUCAUGCUCGAAAGCGUGGGUAGCAAACAGGAUUAAAUUACCUGGUAUCCAAGGGCGAAUUCCACAGUGGAUAUCAAGCUUAUCGAUACCCGUCGACCUUCAGGGGGGGCCCGGUACCCCACUUUUUGUUUCUCUUUAUGAAGGGUUAAUUAU
rnacentral:rRNA from 1 species